CAGGGUAUAGCUCAGCCUGGUAGAGCGCUCGCCUCGGAUGCGAGAGGUCCUGGGGUUCGAAUCCCCAUACCCUGACCA
rnacentral:tRNA from 1 species